UUAAGCGACUAAGCGUACACGGUGGAUGCCCUGGCAGUCAGAGGCGAUGAAGGACGUGCUAAUCUGCGAAAAGCGUCGGUAAGGUGAUAUGAACCGUUAUAACCGGCGAUGUCCGAAUGGGGAAACCCAGUGCAAUUCGUUGCACUAUCGUUAACUGAAUACAUAGGUUAACGAGGCGAACCGGGGGAACUGAAACAUCUAAGUACCCCGAGGAAAAGAAAUCAACCGAGAUUCCCCCAGUAGCGGCGAGCGAACGGGGAGCAGCCCAGAGUCUGAAUCAGCUUGUGUGUUAGUGGAACGGUCUGGAAAGUCCGACGGUACAGGGUGAUAGUCCCGUACACCAAAAUGCACAGGUUGUGAACUCGAAGAGUAGGGCGGGACACGUGGUAUCCUGUCUGAAUAUGGGGGGACCAUCCUCCAAGGCUAAAUACUCCUGACUGACCGAUAGUGAACCAGUACCGUGAGGGAAAGGCGAAAAGAACCCCGGCGAGGGGAGUGAAAAAGAACCUGAAACCGUGUACGUACAAGCAGUGGGAGCACCUUCGGGUGUGACUGCGUACCUUUUGUAUAAUGGGUCAGCGACUUAUAUUCUGUAGCAAGGUUAACCGUAUAGGGGAGCCGCAGGGAAACCGAGUCUUAACUGGGCGUUAAGUUGCAGGGUAUAGACCCGAAACCCGGUGAUCUAGCCAUGGGCAGGUUGAAGGUUGGGUAACACUAACUGGAGGACCGAACCGACUAAUGUUGAAAAAUUAGCGGAUGACUUGUGGCUGGGGGUGAAAGGCCAAUCAAACCGGGAGAUAGCUGGUUCUCCCCGAAAGCUAUUUAGGUAGCGCCUCGUGAAUUCAUCUUCGGGGGUAGAGCACUGUUUCGGCUAGGGGGUCAUCCCGACUUACCAACCCGAUGCAAACUACGAAUACCGAAGAAUGUUAUCACGGGAGACACACGGCGGGUGCUAACGUCCGUCGUGAAGAGGGAAACAACCCAGACCGCCAGCUAAGGUCCCAAAGUCAUGGUUAAGUGGGAAACGAUGUGGGAAGGCACAGACAGCCAGGAUGUUGGCUUAGAAGCAGCCAUCAUUUAAAGAAAGCGUAAUAGCUCACUGGUCGAGUCGGCCUGCGCGGAAGAUGUAACGGGGCUAAACCAUGCACCGAAGCUGCGGCAGCGACACUAUGUGUUGUUGGGUAGGGGAGCGUUCUGUAAGCCUGCGAAGGUGUGCUGUGAGGCAUGCUGGAGGUAUCAGAAGUGCGAAUGCUGACAUAAGUAACGAUAAAGCGGGUGAAAAGCCCGCUCGCCGGAAGACCAAGGGUUCCUGUCCAACGUUAAUCGGGGCAGGGUGAGUCGACCCCUAAGGCGAGGCCGAAAGGCGUAGUCGAUGGGAAACAGGUUAAUAUUCCUGUACUUGGUGUUACUGCGAAGGGGGGACGGAGAAGGCUAUGUUAGCCGGGCGACGGUUGUCCCGGUUUAAGCAUGUAGGCUGGUUGUCCAGGCAAAUCCGGAUAAUCAAGGCUGAGGUGUGAUGACGAGGCACUACGGUGCUGAAGUAACAAAUGCCCUGCUUCCAGGAAAAGCCUCUAAGCAUCAGGUAACAUNAAAUCGUACCCCAAACCGACACAGGUGGUCAGGUAGAGAAUACCAAGGCGCUUGAGAGAACUCGGGUGAAGGAACUAGGCAAAAUGGUGCCGUAACUUCGGGAGAAGGCACGCUGGUGUGUAGGUGAAGUCCCUGCGGAUGGAGCUGAGACCAGUCGAAGAUACCAGCUGGCUGCAACUGUUUAUUAAAAACACAGCACUGUGCAAACACGAAAGUGGACGUAUACGGUGUGACGCCUGCCCGGUGCCGGAAGGUUAAUUGAUGGGGUUAUCCGUAAGGAGAAGCUCUUGAUCGAAGCCCCGGUAAACGGCGGCCGUAACUAUAACGGUCCUAAGGUAGCGAAAUUCCUUGUCGGGUAAGUUCCGACCUGCACGAAUGGCGUAAUGAUGGCCAGGCUGUCUCCACCCGAGACUCAGUGAAAUUGAACUCGCUGUGAAGAUGCAGUGUACCCGCGGCAAGACGGAAAGACCCCGUGAACCUUUACUAUAGCUUGACACUGAACAUUGAGCCUUGAUGUGUAGGAUAGGUGGGAGGCUUUGAAGCGUGGACGCCAGUCUGCGUGGAGCCAACCUUGAAAUACCACCCUUUAAUGUUUGAUGUUCUAACGUUGGCCCCUGACCGGGGUUGCGGACAGUGUCUGGUGGGUAGUUUGACUGGGGCGGUCUCCUCCCAAAGCGUAACGGAGGAGCACGAAGGUUAGCUAAUCCUGGUCGGACAUCAGGAGGUUAGUGCAAUGGCAUAAGCUAGCUUGACUGCGAGCGUGACGGCGCGAGCAGGUGCGAAAGCAGGUCAUAGUGAUCCGGUGGUUCUGAAUGGAAGGGCCAUCGCUCAACGGAUAAAAGGUACUCCGGGGAUAACAGGCUGAUACCGCCCAAGAGUUCAUAUCGACGGCGGUGUUUGGCACCUCGAUGUCGGCUCAUCACAUCCUGGGGCUGAAGUAGGUCCCAAGGGUAUGGCUGUUCGCCAUUUAAAGUGGUACGCGAGCUGGGUUUAGAACGUCGUGAGACAGUUCGGUCCCUAUCUGCCGUGGGCGCUGGAGAAUUGAGGGGGGCUGCUCCUAGUACGAGAGGACCGGAGUGGACGCAUCACUGGUGUUCGGGUUGUCAUGCCAAUGGCACUGCCCGGUAGCUAAAUGCGGAAGAGAUAAGUGCUGAAAGCAUCUAAGCACGAAACUUGCCCCGAGAUGAGUUCUCCCUGAGACUUUAAGUCUCCUGAAGGAACGUUAAAGACGAUGACGUUGAUAGGCCGGGUGUGUAAGCGCAGCGAUGCGUUGAGCUAACCGGUACUAAUGAACCGUGAGGCUUAACCUU
rnacentral:rRNA from 1 species